rnacentral:rRNA from 1 species
CAGUCGCCGCGGUAAUACGUAGGUGGCAAGCGUUGUCCGGAAUUAUUGGGCGUAAAGGGCUCGCAGGCGGUUUCUUAAGUCUGAUGUGAAAGCCCCCGGCUCAACCGGGGAGGGUCAUUGGAAACUGGGAAACUUGAGUGCGGAAGAGGAGAGUGGAAUUCCACGUGUAGCGGUGAAAUGCGUAGAGAUGUGGAGGAACACCAGUGGCGAAGGCGACUCUCUGGUCUGUAACUGACGCCGAGGAGCGAAAGUGUGGGGAGCGAACAGGAUUAGAUACCCCUGUAGUCCCUGUCUCUUAUAC